ACUAAAUAGAUACCCGGGUAGUCCACGCCCUAAACGAUGUCUACUAGUUGUUGGUGGAGUAAAAUCCAUGAGUAAACGCAGCUAAACGCGUGAAGUAGACCGCCUGGGGAGUACGGUCGCAAGAUUAAAACUCAAAGGAAUUGACGGGGCCCGCACAAGCGGUGGAUUAUGUGGAUUAAUUCGAUGCAACGCGAAAAACCUUACCUGGCCUUGACAUGCCACUAACGAAGCAGAGAUGCAUUAGGUGCCCGUAAGGGAAAGUGGACACAGGUGCUGCAUGGCUGUCGUCAGCUCGUGUCGUGAGAUGUAGGGUUAAGUCCCGCAACGAGCGCAACCCUUGCCAUUAAUUGCCAUCAUUUAGUUGGGCACUUUAAUGGGACUGCCGGUGACAAACCGGAGGAAGGUGGGGAGUGACGUCAAGUCCUCAUGGCCCUUACUGGCCAGGGCUUCACACGUAAUACAAUGGUCGGUACAGAGAGUUGCCAACCCGCGAGGGGAGCUAAUCUCAGAAAGCCGAUCGUAGUCCGGAUUGUUCU
rnacentral:rRNA from 1 species